rnacentral:rRNA from 1 species
AUGCACGCUGGCGGCGUGCCUAAUACAUGCAAGUCGAGCGAACGGACGAGAAGCUUGCUUCUCUGAUGUUAGCGGCGGACGGGUGAGUAACACGUGGAUAACCUACCUAUAAGACUGGGAUAACUUCGGGAAACCGGAGCUAAUACCGGAUGAUAUUUUGAACCGCAUGGUUCAAAAGUGAAAGACGGUCUUGCUGUCACUUAUAGAUGGAUCCGCGCUGCAUUAGCUAGUUGGUAAGGUAACGGCUUACCAAGGCAACGAUGCAUAGCCGACCUGAGGGGGUGAUCGGCCACACUGGAACUGAGACACGGUCCAGACUCCUACGGGAGGCAGCAGUAGGGAAUCUUCCGCAAUGGGCGAAAGCCUGACGGAGCAACGCCGCGUGAGUGAUGAAGGUCUUCGGAUCGUAAAACUCUGUUAUUAGGGAAGAACAUAUGUGUAAGUAACUGUGCACAUCUUGACGGUACCUAAUCAGAAAGCCACGGCUAACUACGUG